ensembl:rRNA 5S_rRNA 5S ribosomal RNA
GCUUAUGGCCAUACUAGCCAAAGGACGCCCGAUCUCAUCUGAUCUCGGAAGCUAAGGAGGGUUGGGUCUGGUUAGUGCUUGGAUGGGAGACUGCCUGGGAAUACCAGGUGCUGUAAGCU